UUUCCGUAGGUGAACCUGCGGAAGGAUCAUUAUUGGAUUUUGAAACUUCAGGCUGCUGCUGGCUCUCCUCGGAGGGCAUGUGCACGCUUGUUGUCCAUUAUUUCUCCCACUGUGCACAAAUUGUAGACCUUUCAGUAGGCCUAUGUUGUUUUUCACAAUCUCUGAAUGUAAUAGAAUGGUUUUGAAUCUUGGGAAAUACAAUACAACUUUCAGCAACGGAUCUCUUGGCUCUCGCAUCGAUGAAGAACGUAGC
rnacentral:misc_RNA from 1 species